rnacentral:rRNA from 1 species
AGGCAUGCAAGUCGCGCGAGAAGUUCCCUUCGGGGGAUGGAAAGCGGCGAAAGGGAGAGUAAUACGUAGAAAUCUGCCCCCGGGACCGGGAUAGCGGCGGGAAACUGCCGGUAAUACCGGAUAACGUCUUUGGACCAAAGGUGUGAUUCCGCCUGGGGAUGAGUCUACGUCCUAUUAGCUAGUUGGUGGGGUAAUGGCCUACCAAGGCGAUGAUGGGUAGCGGGUGUGAGAGCAUGACCCGCCUCACUGGGACUGAGACACUGCCCAGACACCUACGGGUGGCUGCAGUCGAGAAUCUUCGGCAAUGGGCGAAAGCCUGACCGAGCGACGCCGCGUGCGGGAUGAAGGCCUUCGGGUUGUAAACCGCUGUCGUAGGGGAGCAAAUGCAUUGGGGUUCUCCCCUUUGCUUGAGCGAUCUUAGGAGGAAGGACGGGCGUAGAUUCGUGC